UAGGGAAUAUUGCAAAAUGGGCGAAAGCCCGAUGCAGCAACGCCGCGUGGGCGAUGAAGGCCUUCGGGUCGUAAAGCCCUUUUUGAGGGGAUGAGGAAGGACAGUACCCUCAGAAUAAGCCUCGGCUAACUACGUGCCAGCAGCCGCGGUAAAACGUAGGAGGCGAGCGUUAUCCGGAUUUACUGGGCGUAAAGCGCGUGCAGGCGGAUUGGAGAGUUGGAUGUGAAAGCUCCCGGCUUAACUGGGAGAGGUCGGUCAAUACUUCCAGUCUUGAGUGCAGUAGAGGGAAGUGGAAUUCCGGGUGUAGUGGUGAAAUGCGUAGAUAUCCGGAGGAACACCAGUGGCGAAAGCGGCUUCCUGGACUGUAACUGACGCUCAGACGCGAAAGCUAGGGUAGCAAACG
rnacentral:rRNA from 1 species